CCCCCCAGCAGCCCAGAGAGUGCUGUGAUUUGGAUUCAGGAUGAGAAUCAUGUUGAUAACACGCUGAUGUUUCAGUUGUUGCUCAGCAGUGCUUACCCUUACUCAAGGA